UACGGGGGGGGGCAAGCGUUGUUCGGAAUUACUGGGCGUAAAGGGCGCGUAGGCGGCGCAACAAGUCACUUGUGAAAUCUCCGGGCUUAACCCGGAGCGGUCAAGUGAUACUGUCGUGCUAGAGUGCGGAAGGGGCUACUGGAAUUCUCGGUGUAGCGGUGAAAUGCGUAGAUAUACGGAGGAACACCAGCGGCGAAGGCGGGUAGCUGGGCCAACACUGACGCUGAUGCGCGAAAGCCAGGGGAGCGAACGGG
rnacentral:rRNA from 1 species